rnacentral:lncRNA from 1 species
GAAAUGUCUUAAGUUAUUAUAAAAUAAUGAAAUUUUCUAGUUUAUCUCGUAAAAGUAAGAUGUAAUUUGGAAAUUCAAAGAUGAAGUAGGAUAAAUUUAAGAACUACAAGUAGAUUUAGCAAACUUGGGCAAUAUUUUCUCUCAGUCCAUUCAGGCUACUAAAAAGAUACCAUAAAAUACCAUAUACCAGAUAACUUAUAAACACCCAGAAUUUCUCACAAUUCUAGAUUCUGGGCAGCCUAAGAGUAAGAUACUAGCAGAUUUGGUAUAUGAUGAGGGCUGCUUCCUGAUCCUUCAAUGGUGCCUUCUUGCUGUGUCCUCAUAUGGUAGGUGCUAAUCCCUUCACCAGUGCUUUCUGCCCUCAUGACUAAAUCACCUCCCAGAGUCCACCUCCUCAUCCUAUCACAUUACAAGGUAGGAUUUUAACACAUGAAUUUGGGGUGACAUAAACUUUCUUAUGAUAGCAAUGUUGUUCACUUAGUUUUUAAACUCCUAAAGAUUUUGAC